UAGCAGCGUGGUAUUGACUUGUCGGUCUCCUCAGCUGAUUCCCUGGCGAGUGCUCUGCAAUGGGUGGAGUGCUAGGCACGCACAUCACAUGCCCAUCCACCUCUUGCUUCGCGUGCGCUAAUAUAUAUAUUCACCUGAGCCAGGUCGCUGUUUCAUCAUCGUGCUUGACUGCAGUCUGCAGGGGGUGUGGCCGCGCUGCAGCCUGCCUGUCAAUCUCGAUCGAUCAAGGGGUGGCGUGCCGAGAUGGCGGACCGGCCGUCGCUUCCUGCUCUCAUUAUUGCUAUCGCCGUUCUUGCUGGCAGUUACUGCCGCGUGGCGAGCUCGGCCUCGCCGGCGGUGGAAGAUGAGCUGCGCGGUGGAGGAGGAGCCGGCGGUCCGACGACGAUGCGGCGGCGCGCGGCGUCGGUGAUGGUGCCCAUCACCAUCCUCAAGUCCGCUGUUAGCGACGGAGCUGUGUGCAUGGAUGGAACGCCACCUGCUUACCACUUGGAUCCUGGCUCCGGAGCGGGCAGCAGAAGCUGGAUUGUGAACUUAGAGGGAGGUGCGUGGUGCAACAGCGCCAAGACAUGCCGGCUCACCAGGAGCUCCGGCCGUGGCUCGUCGGACCACAUGGACAAAGAGAUCCCCUUCACCGGCAUCAUGAGCAGUAGCCGUGCCGUGAAUCCUGAUUUCUACAACUGGAACCGGGUCAAGGUUCGCUACUGUGACGGUGGAUCUUUUGCCGGCGAGGCCUUCGACAAGGACACUGGGAUCUACUUCCGAGGGCAGCGCAUCUGGAACGCGGUCAUCCGGCACCUCCUCUCCAUUGGGAUGGCCAACGCUGACCAGGUGCUGCUCGCCGGCUGCUCCUCGGGCGGUCUGGCGGUGAUACUGCACUGCGACCAGCUCCGCGCCUUCUUCCCGUCCGGCUCCACCGUCGUCAAGUGCAUCUCCGACGGCGGCCUCUACCUCGACGCCGUGGACGUCUCCGGGGGCCGCAGCCUGAGAUCCUACUUCGGAGACAUUGUGGCCAUGCAAGGAAUAGCUCAGAACCUGCCGCCGGCUUGCACCGCCCGCCUCGACGCCACCUCGUGCUUCUUCCCGCAGAACAUAAUCGACGGCGUUAAAACCCCACUGUUCCUGCUAAAUGCCGCAUACGACUUCAUUCAGAUUGUGCUCAGCCUGGCGCCAGACAGAGCUGACCCAAGCGGCGCUUGGCGAGCCUGCAAGUCCAACCGCACGGCCUGCAGCGCAUCCCAGAUGAGUUUCCUGCAAGUGCAGAUUUCAGGGACCAGAUGGUAGCGUCCGUCAAAGGCUUCUCCGGUUCCAGGAGCAACGGGGUCUUCCUAAGCUCCUGCUUCGCGCACUGCCAGUCCGAGCAGCUGGGCACCUGGAACACCAAACCAGGUGGCUCCCCCACCAUUCAAAACAAGGGGAUUUCAAAAUCCGUUGGCGACUGGUACUUUGAUCGAGCUGAGGUGAAGGCGGUCGACUGCCGCUAUCCCUGCGACAACACUUGCCACCACAUUAUAUGAGAGGAUCCACGUUUUUUUAUUAUUUUAUGCAUAGGGAAGAACAUUCGCUCUCUCAACGAAGUGUACAUCGUAUUUGAUUUUGGGAAUGCAAUUGGAUACAGCCAUCAAAUGAACACAACACGCGAAAAUAAAUGGUAAUGGCGUGUUCCAGUAAGACAAUUGAGUGAUUCAA